UAAUAUAUGAAUUUUAGAGAAGAGAGAAACACAAAUGUCCAGUCUGUAACAGCGACUGGUCCUGCCACCUAGAGACACUCUUUAUGAACAUUAACGCACGUCAGGAAGAAAAUUAGGGACACUUCCCUUCUAACUUAUCUCUUCAGACACUUUGGAUUUUCCAUCAAAUGUUCCAGUAGAAAAAGACAUGCUUCUAUGAGAUGGGGACAAAAAUAUUACACCAGGAGGGUGUAGUAGUCAGGAUCUCCCUGUGCAGGCCACCCAGCUUAUUCACUUCAAGGAGACACCAUAUCUGGCCAACAGAUCAUCUAGAUGUGAAUGCCCUGCCAGAAUGAAGAGAAAAAGCACACAGUGAUGGUUCUUUAUAACAAAGUGACUAGGAUAUUGAUAUAUCAAUAAAAGGUGGGAGAUAAAGUCUAAUCCAACAGAAUCCAAGGCCAUGGAGCGGAGUGACUGAUAACAAAGAAGAUAAGAAAGAAACAGAUGACAGAGUCCUGGAAACAUCAUGGCGUCCUCAAUGAAGGAGUCUUUGGUUUCACUCCCUCACUCCUUUGAGGGGGUAGGGUAUGGAUAACCCUGAGGAAACAAUCAAGAGAAGGGGCAAUUGUGGAAGGUGUCGGUAAUGCCCAACCUGCAAUGGGAUACAUGGGCACAGAGGCUGGACCCAAGGUCACCAACCCAGGAACAUUACCUUGGAGACCAAACAAGAUUUGCCAGUUAACAGUCCGGGGUGCCAAUUUUCCGGCAGGGCAAGCAUGAUGGAGGAGAAGAAAUCAAACUAACUAAAGACAAGGAAAAGAAAGCCCAAUUCACAUUGAAACAUCUGACAUAAGCACCUGCAGUCACAAAGUUGCUACCAGUUCUGCUUCCUGAUUCAUUGCCUGGCAUCCUUUGCUUUGAGAUACCUGUGUCAAGAAAACCCUGCAGUUAACGUGGAUUUGGAGAGUGUGCUUUGAUCUUCUGUCUAAAGAUGACCAUAAAUCAAGGGAAAUUGGAAACCCUGUCCAGCGGCACCUGAGCUUCCAGAACACCUUGGGGUGACCCUCUAAAUGGACGCACACCAACUGCACUGUCCGGUACUCUAAGGCAAUGGUUGCCAAACAGUGUGUCUUAUGAAGAUUUAUGGAAUUAAAGUUAUCCUUAUGAAAAGGAUACUGAGGGCCAGGCUCGUGGACAAUGACCAGUAGGUUAAAACAAACAAUAAGGACAGCUUUGCUUGGCCAAAGAGGUGGCCAGAGGAUCUUGAUGAGGAAGCGGGAGACAGGACAAGCUAGAGAGCUAACACCUUCUUCCUCACUAGUUGGACUUUUUCAUUAUUCCCUCCAUGGCCAUUGGUCUUGAAGGUAGAUGGGCGACUCUCCUACUCCUGAGUAACCAAGUCCUGCUUAGAGCUGGAAGUUGUCUGGAAUAUUCACUCUGCAAUGGACUUAAAGCCCAGUAGAUAGGAAUCACAAGAUGGAGCACCUACAAGAGUUAGCUCAGAGACAGGACCGUCUCCCCCCUCCUGUUCCUGCAACACACACACACCCAUCCUAACUUAUUUAUUUCUUUAUGCUCAAUGGGCCUGGACUUACUAUUACAUAUUGUAUUAAUUAUAUAUAUUAUAUAUUAUAUUAUAUUAAUUAUAUUAAUUAUAUUAUAUUAUAUUAAUUAUAUUAUAUUAUAUAUCUAGCUUUUCCUUUAGUUAUCCGAUAUUUUGAAUUGCAUGUGCUUUCCAAAAAUGACCUAAAAUCCUUUGAGAAAAAAUAAUGUACAGAUCAACCACUUCAUAAAUGAAAAACUAAUGAAGUGUUAUUUUUCUUGUUAGGCCCCCCUGCUCCAGCCAGAGGUUCUCAGUCUGUUGUGUCCCCAAAGCUCCCCAUGAAAGCAUGGCUUCUAUGCUGUGUUGUGGCUUCUUAAACACAGGUAGCUUCGUGAGAGUAUUUGUGCUCCUCUUGGACAAGGACCCUCAUGCUUUCAGCAUGCUCCCCGAUGUCCAUUGGCACCCACCCAGCCCAGGGCGGGCCCCGGAACAUACCUUCCAUGACCAAACCAGGACCACUGUUUUAGCCAGCCAGAUCUGUGGAAUGACCUCUGGAGAUCAAUAGGGGUGAAAACUACUUUUCUUUCUACAUCAACUAUGCCCACAGUCAGAGUUUAAAUAAUACUGUUGAGUGACUGAGUGGAGGUCCUUGAGGAAGGAGGUGGCCAAUGAGAGACACCGGCAUAAGCUUUCUUCCUUGGAGAAAGCCAGUGUUCCUGGGGGUGCUCCGGACCACUGGAGUGUGGGGAUUCCCAGCUACCCGCAAGGCCUGACACAGAAAGCCCUGGGUCUGGUUCAGAGUCUGGAGGUUUAACAAGCCAUCCAGCUAAUUCUGAGCCAGGGUUUUCCCAGCAAUGCUAGUGAAGGAUAAAGAGCAGCCAGGAGGGUACGGCCCUCUCUGGAAGAAGCCACCUCCGCCCCCAAGCCUGAUGCCCUCAAAGCCUAGCAAGAAGCAGGGAGCAGACACCAACUCCACAGCCAACACCCAGUGUGAGCCUGGAUCAGUUACUUCCUCCUCACAGUUGUAAGACGAGCAAAACACCUGUGCACAUUAACCUCUACUACAGUACACCUUAAGGCAGGACGUGGAGAAAAAUUUAAUAAACUCUUUA